rnacentral:misc_RNA from 1 species
AAGUUUCUUUGCUAGUGAAUUGAAUUCGUAUUAUUUUCUCCUUGUCAUUUUUUUGUUGUCCUACAUUUAAAUUAAUUGUUCAUUUGUAUGAUAGGACUACAUUGUGUCCUUAGAGAUGCCACUUAUGAUUUCCUAUAGAGAAGUUGCAUUAAAGGAAAUUGGUAAAGUGAUAUUCUGACUUUUAGGAAAUCCUUUGUGUUGUAUUUAUAUUGUGAUAGAAUCAUGUAGAUAUUGCACUUUAUUUUUGACGCACUGUAAAGCUCAAAUAGAACUCUCCACACAAUACACAAGUAUUUAGAGAAAACUCUAUAGAAUUUUAUUAAUUAAAUCUUAGAACUAAUAGAAAAAUAAAUCUACUUUUUAGGAAGUUUAGAU